rnacentral:sRNA from 1 species
UGACGAAGUCGCGCACGAGCGCGAAGUC